UCUCCAUUCUCUUGUUUUCUUCUUCUCUUUCAUUCGUCCUCUGUUCUUAUUUUUCUUCCGAUGUUUGAGAGUUCGAUUUGAGAGAUUAAAUCGAAGAAGGAGAACAUGUUAAGUAUAAGAUGAUGAGGAUGUUGUGGUUAAUUGAGCACGAGAUGAAGAUGAUUGAGUUUCUGCCGUGAAUUGAAGUUAGGGUUUUCUGGAAGAUGAAGUUUAAUGGAGGUUUCGUGGAAUUGAUUAGUGUAUUGAGUUCCUGAUGGAUGAAGAUUGGAUGGGUUGACGUUUAAUUGUAGUUUUGAAGUUGAUUCAGUGAUGAAUCGAAGAGUUGGGGUUUCUCAUAGAUUGAAUUAGAGUUUGUGAGAAAAAGCCAAGGAAAGUGAAAUUAAAGGUUUAUAGGAUUGAUUGAAGAUGGGUUUGUCACAAAUCAAGAGUUAAAGUUUCUGAGAAUGAUGUUCUUCCCCAAAUCAGGUAAUUUAGGGUUUCUUUUAUUUAGACCUUAUUUACAUGAAUUUAGUUAAGAGUUGAUGAAUCUGAUUUGGGUUUGUUAAAUUGAAGUUAUUUUGAUUAUAUGGAGUUCAGUUUGGGUUUGGUAUGAAUUUAAGAUUUAUACUUAGGAUUUCUGUUAAUUUGAGAUUCAUGAAGAAGAGUUGGUGAGGGUUGGUGGUUGUGUAUGUGAUUGUUAUGGGAACAGAAUGGAAUUGUGUUUAUGCUGAUUACAGGGAGAUGAUGCUGGACUGGUGGUAGUAAUUUGAAGAACUACAAGGCUUAAAAGAUGUUAAUGAGUGAUAUUAGCUAUAAUAUGUAGAGUGUUGUGUAGUUGGUAAUACUGAACUUGAGUUGUAUUCAAGAGUUGGCGAUGUAUCACAGAUGAUGAUGAACUGCAGGUGGAGAAGUCAUGGCUAGGCAAAGGUGAGGAUAUGAACUGCUCGAAGUGAUAAAGAUGUUGUUGUUGAAGUUCAGAUUGGAUCAGGGUGUGUGAUUGGAGUUGGAGACUAGAAUGUAGAUGAUGACAGUGAAUGGUAAGAAUAGAAUGAGUUGGUGUUGCAGCUUUGGGUGUUGAAGUUAGAUAAUAAGAUAUGAUGGUGUAAGUGGAUGAUUGUGGCGUUGAAGGAAGAUGAAUCGAGUAUAAAAGAGGAUUCUGAAGCUGAGUACUAUUGCUGGUGGUUUUGAAUGUGAAGUGUUGUUAGGGCUGAGACCUUAUGAAAGCCUGCAUUUGCAGAACUGAUGUAGAUGUGGUGUUGAUAGUAAAGGAAUUGUUGAAUUUGAAAUAUAGUUGAGAUUGGUAGGGCUGAGAACGAUCCAAGAUGUACAUUUGAAGUUGUAAUGGUAGUGUGAUUGAGGCUACAUGGGAUAUGAGUAGCUGGUGGAGGUUUAUGAACUAUUUUGAGUGAACUAAUGAUUGAGGCAGUUCAGAGUUUAGAGAUGGUGUUGUUUUCUGGGUGUUAGAGUUGCAAUUACUAAAGCUUGGAACUGCUAAAUUGCAGUUAGUGUUUAUUAACAACGAUCGAUUCAAAGGAUGAACCAGUGGAUCGUGGAUCUCGAGGUAGGCGUGGCUUGUCAUCAAAAGAGAUGGGAAUAUAUAUUUAACUAUUUUGUAACCAUUGUUGUUUCUUUUACAAAAGUUUAUGUUUAAAAAACUCAUGCAUUGUCUGGUUGUGCUUUCCAUGCAUUGUUUAACUUUGAAUUAUGAAAGUUCUGUUAUUUCUUUUAAUCUUUCCAUUGCUUGGAAAGGAAUUGCAAUGCUUUGUUUGUAUUUAUGAAUUAUUUGGGAAAUAAGAAUUUCCAUUUGUAUGUUGAA